AGGAUCCUACGGGGGGCAGCAGUGGGGAAUAUUGGUCAAUGGGCGGGAGCCUGAACCAGCCAAGCCGCGUGAGGGAAGAAGGUACAGCGUAUCGUAAACCUCUUUUGUCAGGGAACAAAGGCGGGGACUAGUCCCCGGAUGAGGGUACCUGAAGAAAAAGCAUCGGCUACCUCCGUGCCAGCAGCCGCGGUAAUACGGAGGAUGCGUGCGUUAUCCGGAUUUAUUGGGUUUAAAGGGUGCGCAGGCGGCCUGUUAAGUCAGCGG
rnacentral:rRNA from 1 species